rnacentral:rRNA from 1 species
CUUAAACGACUCUCGGCAACGGAUAUCUCGGCUCUUGCAUCGAUGAAGAACGUAGCGAAAUGCGAUACUUGGUGUGAAUUGCAGAAUCCCGUGAACCAUCGAGUCUUUGAACGCAAGUUGCGCCCGAGGCCAUUUAGGUUGAGGGCACGUCUGCCUGGGCGUCACACAUAGCGUCGUUCCCAAC